rnacentral:rRNA from 1 species
ACAUGCAAGUCGGUUAUCCGAAUCGAUAGCAAAGGUAGGCCUGAGAUACUUUCGAGUUCUUCCAUUGUUGCCCCCGUUCUAAGUCAGCUUACCAACUUCGUGCAUUAANACAAGCUGUAGGUUUCUCGUUUCCCAGCAACGCACCUGGGCGUCGCAGGGGUGCUUGACCCAAGGAGUUGACCAACAAGAAGACUACACUGGUUUCCGUCGCCCUACUAUCUGUGCUCGCAGAGACACCGCCUGUGUCGCCGUGAAAGCAAUGACAUCUCAAGGUCUGUUCAGUGCACGAUUUGAUACCAGCGAUCGUAUUCCCCACUCCGAGCGCCUUGUGGGCCCUGGCUAUCCAACAGAGACGUGAGGGAGAUAACAGAACCCAGUCGCCUGUUGGAAGCGCUCCCUCCAACCCCAACAACAUCGAUAUCUGGUUUGCAUAUUCCUUGGCACCUAUGCUUUUGAUAUACCUUAGAGCCUCCGACAAAGACUUAGGCUACAUCAAACUUCUCCGACCGGGCAUAUCCCAGCAGCAUGCCCAAGCCCUCCAGCAGCCGCGGUAAU